AUGGAAUUUGCAGGAACCUGCUUGAGUAAUUGCUAUGCUUCCUAUGUAAAGACUUUGAACUGACAGUUGUUGGGCUGGGAUUUUGCAUGCUAAGGGCUAUUAAAUGGGAUUUCUAUCAGAAGCAAUGAUCUUCAUUCUAAAGAGAGGCAUUGUUGUAUGCAUAUGUGGGUUCUGAUUGUGAAAAAGAGCAACCAAUCUUGUUUCCAUGAUCAGAUAUUCCGAGGACGAUGAAAUGUGAAAAUUUGUAUCUGGAAGAAGGAAAGCUAGUGAAUCAGUUGUCUUGCUGCUGCAAAAGGUUAAUGAUUACACAAUGACAAUGAAGAUCUGAAUACUGAUGCUGUGAAGUUUUUUGCAUGUCAGACCAACCUUCUCAUCAAGCUUAUUACUUAUUAAAGCCCUCAAGUAAUUUGGUCAAUCAUUGUUUAACUUUUGCUCUAUUCUACUAUUCCCAAUAAUUUCACAUUCAUUCAGAUCGUUUAUUUUUCCUCUAUAGCCAUAACAUUCUCUGCUCUGCCAUGCACACUAUACGAGUUUGCACAUUCAUUUGUGGAGCUUAUAAUAGUUCUUCCCUUAUCCAUUCAAUGCUUGCACUUGUAUUGCAUUUGGAAGUAGAUAGUGAACAAAUGGCAUCACAUAAGCUCUGAUGACAAAUCACAUCUAAUGUGGAGGUCUUGACUCUAUUGAUUUUUCUCCACGACAUGUUUCUCCGAGGUGCCUUACAGAAAAUAAGGUUCUUUCCUAGUAUGACAAAUCCAAGAAGAAAAUCUAGCAGGCAGAGGAUCUAAAAGCAAAAGUAAAUGAAACUGUGAGAAAAAUACCAUUACCAUAAAUCUUUCUGGGUUCUUAGAUCCCUUGGGGACUUAAAUGAAGUCAACUUGCUCAGGGGCUUUUGAUUUCUUAAAAAAGAAAAAUCCUAUCUCAACUGGUCAAGAUUGGUGAAAGCCCACUGA